rnacentral:rRNA from 1 species
CGCACGGGUGGGUAACACGUAUCCAACCUGCCGUCUACUCUUGGACAGCCUUCUGAAAGGAAGAUUAAUACAAGAUGGCAUCAUGAGUUCACAUGUUCACAUGAUUAAAGGUAUUCCGGUAGACGAUGGGGAUGCGUUCCAUUAGAUAGUAGGCGGGGUAACGGCCCACCUAGUCUUCGAUGGAUAGGGGUUCUGAGAGGAAGGUCCCCCACAUUGGAACUGAGACACGGUCCAA